ACUACUGUAGUCAUUUUUUUAUAUUUGAUUGUAUUUUCCAUUUGCUACAAUUUUGAAUAUUAAGUUUUCAAAAAUACCAGCUGAUGUCUAAGAUUUGGUCACUUUAGUUUAUUGAUUUAUUACAAUACUGAUAUUCAUAGUGUAUUUAAACAUUAACAGCAUAAUGGGAAAAACUGUUCUAAAAUGUUUGCAUAAUAUAUAUUUCAAUAUCACUAGACUGAGAAAACAAUUUCAGCUUACACCAAUAGGAGUGUAUUUCAAAUUUUUGGUAGGGACUGCAAGGACUCUGGCGUGGUAAUCGGCUCGGGCAUCAGAUGUCCGUUGUCAGACCAAGACCUGCUAGUGCUACAGACAGCCAUUGACCCAUCUGCUUCAUUUGGUCAUGACCUCAACAUUCAGGCUCUUCAGUUCACACAGGGAGGAACAGCCAUGUACAGAGGAUUUUCCUGAAGAACCGUGAGGAGCUUUCACCAACACCCCACAACAUCAGAGUCUCGCGCCUAGGAGCGCACAGGAACACUGCCCUGGGGGUUGAAGGACAUGAAAACAAUGAUUUUGUAUUCUCCUGUGCUGCUUGAGAUUUUUAGAACUGACAGGUUGAUGUCAGACUUGCUUCAAUUUACACAGAUUUUAGACUGUAUGAUUUCACUGCUUAAAAAGCUUCUCUAGAAGUCAGACCAUAUACAUUAUUUCUUGCAAUGUUAUCAAGCUGAACAGUUGAUCUAAAGUUGAGGCCCCACUCCUGGAAGAACCUUGGUGCCAGUACACCCUGAGCAAGGCUCACAACUUUAAAAUCCCCCAGCUGUUCUGAAGUUUAAAACAUUUAUAUGUUUAAAAUGUUACACAAAUGCAGAUGACAAUAAAUUAUACAUACUUGAAA